UUGCCUUUUAUGAGGGCGCCGAUGGCGAUUAUGGCGUCGAAGGGGGCUGGUGAGGGUGACGACCGCGUAGGGGUCAGGGAGGCGGCAUAGAUGCUCUCAACUGCAACCGGCAACUCCCAGCUGCCCGGCACACUCUGCGUCACGAUAUUUUCCGCCACAACCCCCGCCUCUAUCAACGCCUUCUUCGCGCCGUCGACCAGUGAGUAGACGAUCCUGUCAUUCCACCUGGCGUGGACGAUGGCGAUGCGGAGGUUCGAGCCAUCAUGCUUUGCAGAGGGGCCGGGGCCUUUGAGGUCUAGAGCCAUUUCGGACAGGAUUUCAAUCUAGCGGAGGAUUGGAAUUGAAAGUGGAAUUGGGGCGGGAACGGGAACGGGAACGGGAAUUGGGCUGUUGAUAUAUAUACUAGUAUGGAGUCUGUUGCGGGGUUUCGGAAGCUGGUUAUUAAUAAGCGUUGAGAAUGACUAUUCGUUUGAUAGGUUGUCUCAAAUAUAAGAUAGAAUGGAUCGUAUUUGCAAUAGUCGUACGAUAUACUACAUGCUCAAUUGAUGUCGUUUGUAUCUGCAUAUUCAGGGAGGGGAGAAUAUACAGACACUAUAGCGUUGUUAAUGAAUUUGGGAUGGUUUUUGUUCUCAUCCAUCACGACGCUUGAAAACUUCAAGCGAAUCUAUUCGUAUGGCCAGAUAACCGGGUGAAUAGCUACAACUGCGCUUUUAUUUUAUUUUGUUUUUUUAAAAAAAGAUCGAACCAAACCAUUACACGCACGCAAAUCAUCAUCUCGCAGAAAUGGAACAGAAGAAACCGAAGUGCAAAAAAGAGCAACCAAAUCGCAAAAUCCCCAUUUGCUUCCAACGCUCCAGAACCAAUCCCACGUCCUUUCCUGCCCAUCCAGUUAUCCAUGGCUGAUUGAUUGAUCGCUUAUUUUAACUCCAUACAUCCCUAGAACAUUGCCCUAUACCGCGAUUCCAACUACAGACACAAGCUAUCUAAAUGUCUACUCGACAGUAACCGAUUUGGCAAGAUUACGUGGGAAAUCCACAUUCAAUCCUUCCGCAACAGCCAGCCAAUAUGCGAUCAGCUGCAGGGGGAUGACAUUCAGCAGACCCUGCAGACAAUCAACCGUCGAUGGCACUUCGAUGCGCUCGGUUUCCGAUGCGGGGAAUUCUUCGUCACCUGUGUUGCAGAUCACGAUUGGGCGGCCGCGGCGAGCGAUUAUCUGCUGGUAUGCGUUUAGGGAUUUCUUGAAGAUCCCGUCGCGGGUUAGGAUCAUGAUAAUGGGUAGGUUCUCAUCGACGAGGGCGAGGACACCGUGUUUGAGUUCUCCAGACAUGACGGCUUCACAGUGCAGGUAGGAGAUUUCUUUGAUUUUGAGGGCGCCCUCCAAGGCGGUAGAGUAUUGACUCCCUCUACCCAACAACAAGAGACUCUUCUGAUUCUUGAAGAAUUUGGCACACAUUUCCUUAAUCGGCUCGCUUAAUUUCAGAAUCUGGCGGAACUGAUCAGAUAUUUUAGACAGGCCGUCGAUGAUAUCCUCCCGUCGCUUCUGCUUUGAAGCCCGGUCUUCGCUCAGCGAUAGCGCAAACAUCACCAUCGCGACGAACUGCGAGGUGUACGCUUUGGUGGACGCAACACCGAUUUCGGGGCCGGCGUUGAUGUGCACACCGCAGUGUGUCAGGAGGGAAAUGGACGAGCCAACGACAUUGACAAUUCCCACUGUCAGCGCACCACGCUCGAGGCAGUAUCGGAGUGCCAUGAGGGAGUCAGCCGUUUCGCCAGACUGGGAGACAAAUACACAGGUAUCGUCGCGGAAGACGGGGGCUUGUCUGUCGAGGAAAUCAGACGCCAGCUCGACGGCGAUGGGGAUUUCGGUCAAUUCUUCAAAAACACCCCGGACAGCCAUGCAAGAGUGGAAACUGGUGCCACAGGCGAUGAAAAUGAUACGUCUGCAACGGCGGAUGGUAGUGAUAUACUGUCUUAGUCCACCCAAGGUGACUUUCUUGUUGGCAACAUCGAGACGGCCUCGCAUUGUGUUGACAAUUGAUUCCGGCUGUUCGAAGAUUUCCUUUUGCAUGAAAUGGUCGAAUUUGCCCUUCAUGAUCUCCUGGAGUUCAAGCUCGAUGGUCUGGAUGGCACGGACGUUGGAGGUACCGUCAUCCUUAGCAAGACGGUGGAUGUUCAAUUGACCUUCGAAGAUGUGGGCAAUGUCAUCGUCCUCAAGGUAGAGCACCUUCUUGGUAUGCUCGACGAUAGCGGAUGGAUCAGAAGAGAGGAAGAACUCAGCGGGCUGGGGGAUUCCAUCGUCUGAUAAGAAGGCACGGGAUUGCGAGCGGCGCAAGAGGGAUUUAUCUGCAGGUGCCAACAGGCUGGCAGCAGACUUUUUAAGGGCGACAUUCUGCGAAGCCUGCUCGGCGGGGAGAGCGCCAUCCUCGGAAUAUUCGACAUCGACAAAGUCCACCUUCAUCUUCUUGGUGGUGCGGACACCAAUGACCAGAGGAGAACCCUUGCGGGCGGCAAUAACUUCAUGAGGGUAAUGGACGGAUUUCAGCAGGAGGCCAAACGCACCCUGCAGCUCCUUGACGACAGCCUUUGCGAGCACGGUGAAAUCGAUAUCUGGAUGAAGGUCGUAGAGGUAUUUGGCGAACUUGGCUAUGCACUCAGUAUCCGUCUCAGUUUCGAAGCGGAAACCCUUGGACUCGAGGAGGGCCUUGAGCUCUUUAUAGUUGGUAAUGAUGCCAUUGUGGACGACAGAGAAUUCCCAGCUAGGGUCAGAUCUGUGGGGAUGGCAGUUCAAUCUAGAGGGUGGACCGUGGGUAGCCCAUCGAGUGUGAGCGAUACCAGCAUGCGAGUCGAAGGUCUUGGUGAGAUCGAAGUCCGAGUUAUCGAUAAGCUCUCUUAAUUUGGCAACUUUCCCCACUUCCUUAAAAGCGAAGACCUCAUUUUUUUUGUCUCCAUCCACAGCCAGACCAGCGGAGUCGUAGCCUCUGUACUCGAGUCUUGAAAGGCCAUUGACCAAAGUCUGAAUGAUAUAAGCACGGUCUUUUUCAAUCAGGUAGUUGAUAUAUCCGAAAAUUCCACACAUGGUUUCUGUAUCUUGGUCAGGGAGGUGGGGUAAAUCAAAAGUGACUGAUUACGAUGUGGGGAAGGGGAAAUGGGAUAUCUUUAACGGAAUUGUGACUGCUGAAUGAUGUGAAUGGCCUGAAUGAUCUCAAUGAUCUGAGUGUAUGAGGAACGAGUGAUGUUGCUGCUGGGAUGAGAAGCGCGAUAACGGCUGAAAAGCGGGGGGGAUGUUAUGGUGGGGGGAGAUAGAGCCAAUAACAGGUGAAAAAGAGAGGGAGAGGGAGAGGGAGAGGGAGAGUAGAGAGCGAGAGACAGAGUCCUAAAAGCGAAGAGGAUGAAGAUAUAUAAGCAGACAGUUGCAAAAGAUCGUUGCGGGAGAGAGAGAGGAAGAGGAAGAGGAAGAGGAAGAGAGAGAGUGGGAGGAGAAGACACACCACCAACCCUUCUUUGAGAGGAGGUGCGUGGCAGUUACCCAAUCACGGUGGUAAAUUGGGAGUGGGAAUAGCGGCAGCAGUACCAACUGACGUGACAAUAGCUGGGAUUGCACAGAAGCUGGGUUGUGGCAGCAACAGCCAUGUUCAACGGCGG
rnacentral:sRNA from 1 species